CAGCCAUUUCACGAUGAAACACCGGUUGGCGUCCGAUCAACGAAGUUAAGCAACGUCGAGACUGAUAAGUAUCUAGAUGGGUGACCACUUGAAAAUAUCAGGUGCUGUAAG